rnacentral:tRNA from 1 species
GGUGUUAUGGCUCAGUGGUAGAGCGCUCAUCUAGCACGUGUAAGGCUCUGGGUUCCAUCCUCAGCACCA